CCAAUCUCGCAGCGGCGCCCGCCCCCGACAUCCUCGCCUCCGCCUCGCUCUCCGUGAAUGGAAGGCGCCAUUCAGGGAUCCUCUGCUUCCGCCUCCGACAUCCUCGGGCUCGCCCCGCUCAAACUCGAUGAAAGGCGCCAUUCCAUGCCCUCGCCCCUCGCCGGCAAUCCAGGGCUGCCAUCCUCCCCCGCUAAUCGUCGCGGCAUCCAUGGCGCCGCCCUCGCCCUCCCGCGCAGAUCCCCCAUUCCUAUGCCCCCUCCCUCGCGUCUCGAUGGAAUCCCUGCGGCACCCUCUGGUAAGGCAACCAACCACGCCACGACACCCUUUUGUUCGAGAAUCUGCUUGCCUAUGUCGUCGUCAUGGCUUUGUUCCUCCUCGCGACUGAUUCAUCGGUCUCAGUUAUCUCUUUUGUGUAAUUGGUUUCAGUGCCGGUUCCAUUGAGUUUUGAUGGAGGAGUUGGUAGGUUGUUGUGACUGGUUGUUGGAGAGCAGGAGCCAGAAUGAGGAGAAUUUCAGCCAAUUUUAGCGGAACCGUAAAACCCAUCCGGAGAAUUUUUCCUGCGCCUCCUAUGGUUAGGAGUUGUGGCUGGACAGUGUCUCCCUACGCUCUAGAGUUUUAGUGCAGUUUUACCUGUUUUCAGUCAAUUUUGAUCAAGUUCAGGGGAAGUACCAAUUUGGGAGUGCUAGCUGCUGCUGCUGCGGGUUCCUUGGUGGCAGAUGAGUUGCUCCAACUCCAAAGUGGACAAUGAGGCGCUCCAAGGACAGGAGGCAUCUCAUGAAGCAGCUGGUGCACCGCCGCCCUGAACUUGCAGCUGUGCACAUUGCAUACUUGCACGCCGUCCGCAACACAGGAGCCACUCUCCGACAAUUUGUGGAGCUGGAGUCUGCAUUGUCACAGCAGCCUCCCGUAGACCUUGUGGCGCCGCCCUCGCCUACUCCACAGCCUCCUCCUCCUGAACUCUCGGUGACAUCCUCAUUGCAACCCUCGCCAUGCCCCCCGCCGCCUAUCCCUUUUAGUUCAGUAACCGCCAUAAGAAAGAUGGAGAAGAGGGAUGAUGAGCUCCCACCACCACCUCUGGUUUUGAGUUCCAUGGAGGUGAUUUUACUGAUGAUGACGACACCAGCAGCUGCUCAACUCCUCUACCACCACCCCUGCCACCCGUCAUUGUUUGGGAGGACUUGGAUCCCUACAAUGUGCGCCCCUUGAGUUUCCCAUCUCCAUUUGUUGAUAGGAAUGAUAAAGAAGUGGCCUCGCAUGUGACCAUGGACAAUGAUCCUGAAGUAGACACAGAAUCUGAUGGAGAGGAGGAUGAAAGCAUGCUUGGCAAUAAUGAUGGCAUUGUGGAUAGGGUCCAUGUGAAUCCAGGCAAGGGUAGGGCUCUGGGUGAUGGCAACUCUUCAACGGUGAGCUGGGUGACAAAGGAUUCAGACUCUAUGGCAGUGCCUUGGAGGAGUAAAAAGUCGCUUGUAGAGAUUGUUAAGGAGAUUGAUGAGUACUUCUUGAAAGCAGCAGUAAGUGGGAAUGACGUUGUGAUUUUUUUGGACUCUGCUGGUGGGCGGCCUGAUGCCUUAUAGGUAGAGGCAAAGAAAGGUAAUACGUGCUCAUGUACUAUCAUUAUGUACAUAUUUUUGAUAUGUCAAUCGAUAACCUCUGCUCUAGAAUCUUUUUUCUUUGGAGGUGUCGUGUCAAUGCUCUUUCGGAGAAGUCCACAAGUCACCAAGCAAAGCAGUCUGAUAUUUGGUGUAUGAAAAUGUUCUAUGUCGUAGAAAAUGAAAUUGAUGACAAGAUAUCCAGGCAUCAAGUUAAUUGAAGUACGAAUAGCACCCAUCAAUGUUUCGGAACUCAACAUUGUUGUCAAUAAUUCCAAAUAUUCGUCGAACAAUAAAGAGGCCAUAAAAUGAGCCAUGUACUCCAUCAAGGACCUCAACUUCGAAUGCCCUCACAGCAUAGGGCGGCAACAAUUAUUGUUUCUACAUCUCAAUAUAUUUUACCAUAAUAUGUUUACCCGUAGCAACGCACGGAUAUACACCUAGCAAUUUAUUAUAGCAAUGGUCUUACUUUUCUAGGUAGCUGUUUUGUGUAACAGCCGGAGGCGCAGAGGGAGGAGGGACCAAAUAGGAGCGGAGGGGAAGGCAUGCGGUAUGAUUGAUGAGUCGCUACUCAAAAUCUUGAGCUCAUGUACAACUAUUUGAAGGAGCUAUUGAAGGAGCUGAAGUGCAAAACUGCUCUACAGGUUGUGGAAAAAUCUCUACACAGUGUUGCUGUCAUCCUGGCCUUCGCCUUCGCCGGUGGCCUGUACGCGUACACACGCUCACGGGGCUCAUUUCCAAAAGCUGGGAGUCGUAUGCUAAUACUGGUGUCUUUGCGAAGCAGUGCCUCAAGAUUCUGAAGGUUUCUGUCAACCUGACAUGCACCACGGAAUGGAGGUUCGUCUUGGUUUGUCCAAGGGACCUAUCUGCCCUAGCUUCAGUUGAGGCAGUGAAUGUAGUUCUACGGUUCUGUCGCACGUUGAUGCACCUUAGUCCAGUACACUCGGAUCAAUAAAAGACCACAUUAGGAUGGUGAAACGGUGAAAACUGAUGGCUUGCAUAUGUUCAGAGUGUUAUGUUGUAAUGAACGCAUAUUGCGAAGCAUCGCAGUUGAGCUUCAGGAUCUCUGCAGCUGCAGGUGGCUUUCUCCGUACUCGAAUUAGAGUUAGCUGUGAAUUGCAAUCCUUUUGUUAUUUUUCUCUAACUUGUAUGGAGGAAAGCAA